ensembl:snRNA U6 U6 spliceosomal RNA
AUGCUCACUUAGGCAGAAAAUAUAUUAAAAUUGGAACGAUACAGAGAAGAUUAGCAUGGCCCCUGCUUAAGGAUGACAUGCAAAUUCAUGUAGGGUUCCAUAUUUUU